GCUCCGGUGGCCUAGUAGUUUGAGCGUUCGCCUCGAACGCGGGAGGUCGUGGGUUCGAACCCCGCCCGAGUCA